CCUACGGGUGGCAGCAGUAGGGAAUAUUGCUCAAUGGGGGAAACCCUGAAGCAGCAACGCCGCGUGGAGGAUGAAGGUUUUCGGUUCGUAAACUCCUUUUGUUAGAGAAGAUAAUGACGGUACCUAACGAAUAAGCACCGGCUAACUCCGUGCCAGCAGCCGCGGUAAUACGGAGGGUGCAAGCGUUACUCGGAUUCACUGGGCGUAAAGGGCGCGUAGGCGGGAUAGCAAGUCAGAUGUGAAAUCCUAUGGCUUAACCAUAGAACUGCAUUUGAAACUGUUAUUCUAGAGUUUGGGAGAGGUAGGUGGAAUUCUUGGUGUAGGGGUGAAAUCCGUAGAGAUCAAGAGGAAUACUCAUUGCGAAGGCGACCUGCUAGAACAUAACUGACGCUGAGGCGCGAAAGCGUGGGGAGCAAACAGGAUUAGAUACCCUUGUAGUC
rnacentral:rRNA from 1 species